rnacentral:rRNA from 1 species
UACAGAGGCCUCAAGCGUUGUUCGGAUUCAUUGGGCGUAAAGGGUGCGCAGGCGGUCGGGUAAGUCGGAUGUGAAAUCCUGGGGCUCAACCUCAGAACUGCAUUCGAUACUGCCUGGCUAGAGGAUUGGAGAGGAGAGUGGAAUUCACGGUGUAGCAGUGAAAUGCGUAGAGAUCGUGAGGAAGACCAACGGCGAAGGCAGCUCUCUGGACAAUUCCUGACGCUCAGGCACGAAGGC